AUUUCAUUUAAGGGUUGGCAAUGGAGGGGAGGGUAUCUUGCUGGAAAUCUCCAUGUAUCUUAAGCCUCCUAAAGGUGAGCGGAACAGGUGUUCGCUGAGACCCAUAAGUUAUUAAAUAACAUUUCUUGUGCUCAUGGAGGAUGAAGUAUAAUGACUCAUAAUGAUAGAUUGCAGAUCUAUCUUUCCAGGUAGAGCAAUUGGUGCUGAACAGCAUGGAAAAUAGCUACUGGAAAGCAGAGCCCUUUCACGUGACAAGCAGAAACAAUGUGGACUGAAUCUAUCCCAAAUGCUAAAAAGCAGCUCUGCAGGUGGAAUGGUCAGUGACUGACAAAGAAAUCAGAAGGGAGGAGAAAAUGUUAUCUUUCAUGGCCUGAUUCCAGUUCAUACAGACUCAAGAGUCAGUGUCAAAAACUGGAUCAACCUCUGCAACAGCGUGACCUUUGCAGAGGAUUAUAUUCCAUUUUCACCAUUUGUGGAAAUAAGUAGCAUCACUUAGCAGUAUGCAGAAUUGUUUGCUGAUUGAUGGUAGCAGUCUCACUGAAACUAAGAUGGGUAAUUUCAGCUUGGGCAGAAUGCAGAAAUAGUUGCAGCUCCAUGGAACCUCCAUCUGACAUCACAAGAGGAAACUGUGCUCUGUUUGAAUUAUUGAUCUACGGUGUCCAUGAAAGGCAUUGAAGACCAAAUCUUGGUCUUUUUCAAAAACAAACAAAAACCAGAAAACUGUUUCUGCUCACAAAACAAGAUAGAAUUUGUAGACUCAGAGGCAAAAGAACAAAAUACUUAAAGAUUAUUGAAUUGUGCUCUAAAAAUGUUUAAUGGAAGUAACUAGCUUAAAGAGUCAGUUUUUUCUGCUGUAUCAUUUGAAGGACAUUCUAUAUGAAAUUGAAUGUUUGACUGGCAAACAUUUGACUUUGCACUUCUUUAAGAUAACAUAAUGGAAAAAAUAAAGGACCAUCUACUCAUCCUGAGGUACUCAGUAUGGUUCCACUCCUCAUAAUGUUAUUUAAUAUUCAAAUGUAAGUAGGAAGGGGGUAGAAAUAAUUAUUCUAUCUCAAAACAAACAAACAAAAAAGCAGUUUUAGCUUUCAUGUUGAGAAAAUAAAACCAGAAUGUUUUGUUUCAAAUUCAGAUCUAAGGGCUUUGAAUUGAUUAGUUAACUGAGAAUACUUAACACGGGAUGAUAUUUCCUAGCAGUGCCCAGGGUGUUGUUUGGGAGUGCACUUGUCUGUGUGAGCUGAACUGUAAGGAGGAUUACACAUAGUGAAGAACUCCCCUUUAAAUAAAAUUGUAUGAAAUGCUCUGAGAUAAGAACAAUUACGAAGAUAUAGCUUGAUGAGGUGAUUUGUGUUUUAAGUCAUGUUAUGUACUGCAUUUUAAUAUAGUUAAAAUGACAUGUUGUACAUCAGCCCUGAACUGAACAUUUUUGUUUGCUCAACACUUUUAAAAUGAAGCAUUUCAGCAUAAUUCAAACAAAAUUCUUACCAUAUGAAAAGAUUUGCUGUUCUAAAUUUUCUUUAAGAUAAGAACUAUGUAUGAAGUAUACAUCUUACCAUGGGCUGGAAAUUUGAAGUUUGAUUAACGUUAAUGAGACUACAUUUUUCAGAAGGCUCAAAUAUGAUUGGUGCUAAGUGACGCAUUUCUUUAAGCCCAUGCAUGGGAGGAGAAAAUUUAUGAUGAUAUGCUGGUGCUGAAAAUUCCCAGAAGUACACGGGACUUUUCUCAGAUCUGUCCUCUGGAGUAAUCUUGAGGGGGAUAAAAAGUUACUUCAAUGUCGAACCAACAGUCAAAUUAGCCAGUUUAAAUUAUAGUGUCCACAAGAUAAUCACUUGGAUACAUCAAGUGACUAUGCAGUUUCUAUUGGAUAAUCGCUAGUAAUAAACUGUACACAUCUUGUUAGAAGAUUAUGAAGUACAUUUCGGCAUGCGUUGUUCAAUCAUGUAGUGCAACAGAUACUCAGACCAGACCAGUAAAGUCUGGAAAGAGCAGAGAGACAGCAAUAGCUACUUAACAUUAUUAGAGUCACAGGUAUUAGAUAAACUACAGUUAUAAUUUCUUGCCUUUCUAAGCUGGAACAAUUAUAUUUGAAAUUGUCUAGAAAAGUAUCGUUGUUUAAUUUGUCUCCAGUUUUAAUCACUAACUUAACAUGAUCCAGACAACAAGAAUGAAUGUUCUAAUUUGUUAAUGUUACAACAAAUGUAUAUUUUAAAAAUAAUGCUUUUUAAUGUGAGCAUAGUUUGUUCCAAUGCAUUGCUAAAUGUCAGCUACUCCAAUCUCAAAUGAUGCAACUGAGCAUUAGGCCAUUGAUUUCAGUGAUGUUAUGCUAAUUGACAUGAGCUUAGUAGUUUCAUUCCAUAUAUUCCAUAACCAGAGAAAGAAUACAGAUUUGUGGAUUUAUUUUAUUUAAUAGUAUCUUGUAGUUUGUUUUUCUUUGCUAGAUUUAUGGGUAAUAAACUCAUAAACCAGUAUGAAUUAAAAUAAAUGUAAUUACUGAAUACUAC